rnacentral:rRNA from 1 species
AUUGAACGCUGGCGGCAUGCUUUACACAUGCAAGUCGAACGGCAGCGCGGGCUUCGGCCUGGCGGCGAGUGGCGAACGGGUGAGUAAUACAUCGGAACGUGCCCAGUAGUGGGGGAUAGCUCGGCGAAAGCCGGAUUAAUACCGCAUACGACCUGAGGGUGAAAGCGGGGGAUCUUCGGACCUCGCGCUAUUGGAGCGGCCGAUGGCAGAUUAGCUAGUUGGUGGGGUAAAGGCCUACCAAGGCGACGAUCUGUAGCUGGUCUGAGAGGACGACCAGCCACACUGGGACUGAUACACGGCCCAGACUCCUACGGGAGGCAGCAGUGGGGAAUUUUGGACAAUGGGCGAAAGCCUGAUCCAGCAAUGCCGCGUGUGUGAUGAAGGCCUUCGGGUUGUAAAGCACUUUUGGCGGGAACGAAAAGGACUGUGCCAAUACCACGGUUCGAUGACGGUACCCGCAGAAUAAGCACCGGCUAACUACGUG